rnacentral:lncRNA from 1 species
CUCCCCUCCCCAGAGCUGUGAUGCAGUCCACAGGACAGACACUUUUGGACUCUCAAGACCAGAAGCGUCCUCUCUGGGACUAUCCUGGCAGGAGUUCUGGUUCCAGAGAAGGCAGUGUUCCUGCCAGGAGCCACAACAAAUAUUGCAUUGAACUGGAAACUUGGACGUCCCCUGAUAAAUUUGGGCUUCUAAUGCCCUUAAACCAACAGGUUCCGAAAGAACAACAGUGUGGAGAAAUUGAUCCAGAUUACCAUGGGAAAUUGGAUUGCUUCUACAAUGGAGUAGGGAGAUCGAAUUCUAGUCUGGAACUUUGAGGUGUGAAGACAACCUCUAAUCUUGGCCAUGCCUUUUGCUAGACGCUCAUAUGAGAAGCUUUUGCUUUUUGACUGUUUACUCUGACCUCACAAGCAAGCAUCUUCCUUCCCUGGCAUUAGAGCACACUUCUUCAGGAUUCCAGCAUAUACUGAAGACCAGCCAAGACAUGCAGAUUCAUGGACUGAACAACUACUGAAUUCUUUGAUCUGUUCAUAGGCAGCCUUUAUUGGAUUAGCUUGACCAUAGCCUGUAAGUCAUUCUAAUAAAUCCUCU